AGCAAAAAUGACACAGUAUGUUGUAUAUUAAUCAAAUACUUGCUUUCCACAUUCUUUAAAAAAACAUCUGCUGUUAUGUGCAAAAAUUUUAUUCAUGUAACAAAAACCUGCAGAAAACUCAAGGAUUCUAAGAAAUCACAAAUAAAAAAACACUACUCUAACAAAUCAUCUGAAGUCUCAAAAUAUGUGUGUAUGACAAGCAAACUGCUUUGUAUGCAAAAACUUUAUUUUGGCAAUUCAGGACCAUGAAAUAUUUUAUUCCUACACAUUUCUGUGUUUAAAUGUUUCGUCUCUGUGGUUCGUAGUUGACACUUUAUACAGGUUAAUGUUUUCUAUAGUGUUUAAUACCAGCCUGUUCAAUGCCCUUAUUGUAGGACUAAAUCCACAACCCUGUAAUUAUGCAGAGUCUGUAUCCAUCAAGUAAGUUAUUAAUAGAACUGUAAGAAUAAUCAAUGUGCAUAACGUUUUUGCAGCAGUGCAAUAAUUAAAUUAUAUAGAAGCAGGUAGAAAAGCUAUUACUGAUAAUAUAAAUCUUCGUAUCACUUAUAACCAUGCACAUAAAAGCAUAUAUAAUUAUGCAACUAUCAUAAAGGAAAGAAAGGUAUAUUAGAAAGUAUAAAUACUACUACAAUGUAAAAUAUUAAAUAAUGUAAUAACAUACAAGAAUAAGUAUAAGAAAUUUAGAAUUGCAUGUAUUUUCUACUGUAAGAACUCCAAAAAUUAUAGCCCAGUUACAAACAAAUACAGAGAUUUCUCAGUUUCAUAGUUACUGUCAAUCUUGAUGCUGAACACGACUUUCUCUUCGAAACUUAUUUAAAUACAAAUGUAAAUGCUCAAAUUUUCACCGGCAUUUUUCCAAUUGCUCAGCCUACUUUAUUAUGUAUUUUCACUUGUGAAAAUCCAAAGGAAAUCAAUUUAAUGUGCAUGUUACUACAUCAUUUUUAAGUUGCACAGGUGACAUUAUGCUCCAGACAUACCAACAGUACCUGAAAUGGAGCCUGAAGAGCAGCCUUUCAAUAUUCCAGCGUAGCUACUUAUGGAGCCUGGAGAAGAGGGCAACAAAACAAAAACACGAUGUGUCAGUUUACAACUGGGUCAGGAUAUGGAUAUAUAAGGAAGAACUACUACUACUGUAUACUGGAUGAAGAAUAAAAUAAGUCUCCAGCUCAAGCAACAAAAUGGAACUUGGUAUUGGUGGUAUGCAUGAAGCAACAGAUCGAGGCAUCAUUGCACGCAUAUCAACCAUUGUAGCAGCUGGAACAGGGGGUAAUUCUGCACCUUGUCUUGGGCUAUCAUCUAGCCUGUAACAUGUGGAUGUUGUAAACUCACAUCGUAAUGGCGCAGACAUUACGCAGUCCUUGGAAUGGAAGGUGAACAGACGCAAAUGACCGGCCCUGGUUGAAGACAUCAGUCAUCUGAGAGGGGAGUGACAACCAAAUUCUUCAACAACUUCUACUUUUUUAUGGAACCCCAAUGACUGUUCAACCUUUUCUUGAUUCAAGUGAUUCAUGUUUCAUUAUACCAUUUUGAGCUGUUUAUAUUAACUGGGAUACUGAGACAUGUCUGAAUGCACUGAAGAUGGAGACAGUACUUCAGAAUGGUGGUCAUCUACCUAUAAGACUACAAAGUGCCACAACCCAGAACAUCAUCAUCAGGGACCAUCUCAGUCGGUGAUGUUCAAGCAAUUGACAUGAUUAAUGGCCCAAGAAGACUUUUUUAAUGUUAGUCACCAUGAAAACUAUUGGCCACACGGAAGUAAUAUAAGGUGUUCAGUACAUUAACAAUAUUCUAUGAAAGUAUGUAAGAUGGUAUCUGUUCUCUGCGAUGGCACCAAUACUCACGUUCCUCUGUAAUUACUGAUGACGUCAUCUCCUGUGAUAGCAUAAUUUAUUGUGAGCAUGUUCUAAUUUGAGAAUUGCUGUAUGGAUUUCUAUUAAAUUUGGUACGGGAAUUGUGCAAUUGGGGACUAUUUCAAUGUCAUGUAUUUUAGUUGCCUACAACUAGUAAUACCAAUUAGACGGAUGCUGAAAGCUGGGUUACUGAAAUGUGUAUACCAACAAGAUGGCUGUCUUCCGGGUUGUUGUGCCGUGUUGCCUGGUAAAAGUUUACCAACAAUUCGCACCAAUUUCAGCCUUGAUGAUCUACCCAUGCGUCCAUCUAUCAACGGCCAGUCGCACUUUUUUGAUACAUCACCGAUUGGAAGUGGUGUACAGAGUAGAACUGAAUCCACCGAUUAUGACCGCUGACCUUGUAUAGAGAUACCAGUAUGCGAACCACUCAAUGAAGGAAGUACAGUACAGUCUGUGUCAAUGCAGCGGUGUAGAAGCCUGACAAUUGUUGUCCAGUGACUGUUCUGUGUUAACAACAUGCCACCUGUUCGUUGCAAUCUCCUUCUUGGUCAUUGAUAACGCCUCGUAUCAAAACACUCAGACAGACAAACCACCGACGUCUAACUCAAAGAAGGACGAAAUGAAAGCCUGGCUAUUGGAAAGAAACAUCCCAUUUUCUGACAUGUUGAAAGCUCAAUUGUACGAUUUAAUCAAAUUAAAUAAGUCAAAGCCUAAAUAUUAUGCGAUUGAUCAGGCAUAAUCGAAGACGCUAUUGAACGUAUUAUAAUUUAAGAUAAUGGAGUGGACACGAGCAGCGGUAGUGAUGAAUCGAGUGAUGCCAGAAAGCUAUGGUCUGUGAGGAGCGGAAGAAUUGCAAGAGGACCGAAGAGUUGUGAAGAAGACAAAAUUAUCUAAUAAUCUCUGCGGUGUUAAUUUUCUAGUGAUGAGUAAUUUAGUGAAAUCGACUGUCCUGUGUUGCACUCCGUGGUGAUGUUUUAUUUGGAGUGUUCUGUACGCGGCCUGCUGCCAUCGCUUCCAGCAAACUUCUAGUAACUCGCUCCGAGGUUCCAAUUCACAAAGUUCAGCGGCAAAAAAAGCUGGAACGCAUUAUACGUCUGGAACUUUUGUUUAGCCUAUAGAGUAUACAUUUUUAGUCUUGCUUAAUGGCUGUCUUUGCAGUACAUGUUCCCGGCAUUUGGCCCACGCUGUACUACAAAAAUUCUUGUUCUUAUGGACGUGGAUUUUUUACAUAACAUUCUUGAAGAAUUACGAAGUCUUUCGACAGCGAAAGAUUUACGUCGGAUGUGCAAUCCAGUAUGACAGCAAUAUUUUUGCUUCCCUCAACCUGUUACGUUAUUUUUUAUCACUUUGUUGCCCAUGAGGUAUUUUGGAAGUUUACAAGUUUCCGACGACUUAUGUACAAAUUCUUAUGCAAAGCUCGUUAUGCUUAUCAAGAAGGUUCACUAGGCCCAGAAAAUAUCUGUUUUUUGUAGGCUUAUACGGGUGCUACAAGCUCGUGUAAUAAUUAGGAUUUGAGGUUUUCACGGCGUGAGUCUGAAAAUGGAUGUCUUCUGGGUUGUAACGCCGUGUAGUCUGGUAGAUGAAUAUUCGUCACCCUUAUGAUGGAGGCAGCAAGGACCUCUGAAAUGUUUAUAAACUUUUACCAGUCUACACGACACUGCAACCUAAAAUACAGCCAUCUUAGCGUAUGUAAUGUUUCAUUGCGGCACUUCUGUAUCUUUUUAGUUCUGGUUACUGGAAAAAAAAAGAUAAUUACGAUGAUUAAUAAAGUUGAUGAAAAUGUUGAAGAACUAGUGGUCAUGGCUUGUAUAGUUUUGCAAUGUUCCAUCCUGUUAUUUGCCGGAACAGAAUACAAAAAAUGAUAAAAAAUAUACAUUCAGGGUGGUCAGAUCCAGCCGAAUUCUGAAUACGAACGUGACCAUUGUGCCAAGCUAGUUCGAACAUCUUAUUCUUUUCAAUGUAAGUUCUUAAUAUGAAGUAAUCGUUCAUAGUCUACUGAAUUUACGUCAUGACGGCGUGAGCUAGGUGGUAAGACAAUGCCGAUUCAGCACGUUAUAGUAGUCCACGGCCGUUUUAUUCCAUAUCUUUCCAGUUCUUUACUGGCAGGGUCAUUAAAUAAAUUAUAAAUAAACAACCAAAAUGUGUUACAUCAGAGUGACAUUAUUUUUGAUUAGGGAUGUAAUAAAGCUCUUAAGACCAGAAACGAAUCCGACAUAUCUAGAGAAAAAGUAAUACAGAGAGAACAAAUAUUUUCCUUUGAAUUCUUGUUUCAUACAAACCAGCAUGCACGAUCUCAGUUGAACAAUUUAAAUAAACCAUAAAACUUA